ACGACUCUCGGCAACGGAUAUCUCGGCUCUCGCAUCGAUGAAGAACGUAGCGAAAUGCGAUACCUGGUGUGAAUUGCAGAAUCCCGCGAACCAUCGAGUCUUUGAACGCAAGUUGCGCCCGAGGCCAUCCGGUCGAGGGCACGCCUGCCUGGGCGUCACGCCAAA
rnacentral:rRNA from 1 species